ACUUCCUGAAAGCACAGGGGGACAGAUGCUGAGAUCCCAUCCAUCCAGGUGAAGUCAACGUGACCUGCGGAUGCAGUCCAGCUCUGCCAGGAAAGUCCUAAUGCUCUUACAAAGGAUGGCCAUCCUCUUCCACCCAGGUCUUUUAUGAAGUGGAGGAUUUAUUUCAUUCGCUGACCUUCCUCUGGAAUGCAGUCCCUCCUGAAGUUACUCCUGAUUUAUGCUGGUAUAAGCAACUGUGAGAAUCAAAGCAGUUUGUAAAAUCAUGAAAAAUAAAAAGAUUUUACUCAAAA